rnacentral:lncRNA from 1 species
CUUUCAAAGUGCUUUUUGUUAUCCUCAGUAGUGUCUGCAACAUCCCUGGUGGGGGUCAGGGGGCGGGGACCCUAACAACCUCCACCCCCAGGUUGCACUGGCUGGCCUCUGAGUCAGGCCAAACCACCCUGGGCCAGCGUUGCCGCCAGUAGUUUUUCCUCCUUGUGGACCCUCCUCCCAGUGCCUGAUGUCAGCCCUAGGGGACACAUCUUCCUAGCAAGGUGUCAUUGCCACUUUGAGCAGUACCUUCCAGGGGACUUCUUUGUUUCUUCUUUCCAAGCCACUGGAGGAUCUGAGCACCAAGGGCUGCCCAGAGCCAAGGAUGGUGGGAGAUGCCAGAGAAAUGUCCUACAGAUAUACUGCAUUGCCUGCUCUGCCCUGGGGGCCAGCCUGUUCUGCCCUGGGGGACAGCCUGCUCUGCCCUGGAGACCCUCAAGCAUGCAACUGGGUCACUUCCGAGGACCUGAGUCUUCUUUGUCGGGUUGGCAUGCCCUGCCCUCCCUAGGGAUCUCCCUUCACCCUUGUGCCCACCACCCUGCAGGGGUCUUCUGAGUCACAGCUUUAUCCCACCACGACCACAGGGAGCCAGGCACGCAGUGACUUGCUGCCAUCACACGCCAGGUCAAGACGUUGACCAGGUGUCCUGAGGAGUCCUCGGGUCCUGUCUAUCAGCUAUGGGGCCACCAGCAUCAUGUCACCCCCUUGAGUUCACAGAGCCUCUUAGGUAUGAUUAGCACUGGAGAGUGACCCUGGG